rnacentral:rRNA from 1 species
GGACGAACGCUGGCGGCGUGCUUAACACAUGCAAGUCGAGCGGUAAGGCCCUUUCGGGGGUACACGAGCGGCGAACGGGUGAGUAACACGUGGGUGACCUGCCCUCAGCUCUGGGAUAAGCCUGGGAAACCGGGUCUAAUACUGGAUAUGACUCCAUGACGCAUGUUGUGGGGUGAAAGCCUUGUGCGGCUGAGGAUGGGCCCGCGGCCCAUCAGCUCGUUGGUGGGGUGANGGCCUA